rnacentral:tRNA from 1 species
GGUGAGGUAGCUCAGUUGGUUAGAGCAUCGGAUUCAUAACCCGAAGGUCACGAGUUCAAAUCUCGUUCUCACUA